UGGGGAAUAUUGCACAAUGGGCGAAAGCCUGAUGCAGCAACGCCGCGUGAGUGAUGAAGGCCUCCGGGUUGUAAAGCUCUGUCUUUUGGGACGAUAAUGACGGUACCAAAGGAGGAAGCCACGGCUAACUACGUGCCAGCAGCCGCGGUAAUACGUAGGUGGCAAGCGUUGUCCGGAUUUACUGGGCGUAAAGGAUGCGUAGGCGGAUUUUUAAGCGAGAUGUGAAAUACCCGGGCUUAACUUGGGUGCUGCAUUUCAAACUGGGAAUCUAGAGUGCGGGAGAGGAGAAUGGAAUUCCUAGUGUAGCGGUGAAAUGCGUAGAGAUUAGGAAGAACACCAGUGGCGAAGGCGAUUCUCUGGACCGUAACUGACGCUGAGGCAUGAAAGCGUGGGUAGCAAACAGGAUUAGAUACCCUGGUAGUCCACGCCGUAAACGAUGAGUACUAGGUGUAGGAGGUAUCGACCCCUUCUGUGCCGCAGUUAACACAAUAAGUACUCCGCCUGGGAAGUACGAUCGCAAGAUUAAAACUCAAAGGAAUUGAC
rnacentral:rRNA from 1 species